UACGGGGGGGGCAAGCGUUGUUCGGAAUUACUGGGCGUGAAGGGCUCGUAGGCGGCCAACUAAGUCAGACGUGAAAUCCCUCGGCUUAACCGGGGAACUGCGUCUGAUACUGGAUGGCUUGAAUCCGGGAGAGGGAUGCGGAAUUCCAGGUGUAGCGGUGAAAUGCGUAGAUAUCUGGAGGAACACCGGUGGCGAAGGCGGCAUCCUGGACCGGCAUUGACGCUGAGGAGCGAAAGCCAGGGGAGCAAACGGG
rnacentral:rRNA from 1 species